rnacentral:sRNA from 1 species
GCUGGGUGCAGUGGUGCAUGCCUGUAAUUCCAUAGGCUUGGGAGGCUGAGGCAGGAGGAUCACAAGUUCAAAGGCAGCCUAAGCAACUGAGACCCUGUCUCAA